rnacentral:rRNA from 1 species
GACGAACGCUGGCGGCGUGCUUAACACAUGCAAGUCGAGCGGUAAGGCCCUUUCGGGGGUACACGAGCGGCGAACGGGUGAGUAACACGUGGGUGACCUGCCCUCAGCUCUGGGAUAAGCCUGGGAAACCGGGUCUAAUACCGGAUAUGACUCCAUGACGCAUGUUGUGGGGUGGAAAGCCUUGUGCGGCUGAGGAUGGGCCCGCGGCCUAUCAGCUUGUUGGUGGGGUGANGGCCUACCAAGGCGGCGACGGGUAGCCGGCCUGAGAGGGCGACCGGCCACACUGGGACUGAGACACGGCCCAGACUCCUACGGGAGGCAGCAGUGGGGAAUCUUGCGCAAUGGGCGAAAGCCUGACGCAGCGACGCCGCGUGAGGGAUGACGGCCU